rnacentral:rRNA from 1 species
UACGUAGGGAGCAAGCGUUGUCCGGAAUCAUUGGGCGUAAAGCGCGCGUAGGUGGCUUCGUAAGUCCGUUGUGAAAGUCAAAGGCUCAACCUUUGAAAGCCGAUGGAUACUGCGGAGCUAGAGUACGGAAGAGGCGAGUGGAAUUCCUGGUGUAGCGGUAGAAUGCGCAGAUAUCAGGAGGAACACCAAUAGCGAAGGCAGCUCGCUGGGACGUUACUGACACUGAGGCGCGAAAGCGUGGGGAGCGAACAGG